rnacentral:rRNA from 1 species
UGGGGAAUAUUGCACAAUGGGCGAAAGCCUGAUGCAGCAACGCCGCGUGAGUGAUGAAGGUCUUCGGAUUGUAAAGCUCUGUCUUUUGGGACGAUAAUGACGGUACCAAAGGAGGAAGCCACGGCUAACUACGUGCCAGCAGCCGCGGUAAUACGUAGGUGGCGAGCGUUGUCUGGAUUUACUGGGCGUAAAGGGUGCGUAGGCGGAUGUUUAAGUGAGAUGUGAAAUACCCGGGCUUAACUUGGGUGCUGCAUUUCAAACUGGAUAUCUAGAGUGCAGGAGAGGAGAAUGGAAUUCCUAGUGUAGCGGUGAAAUGCGUAGAGAUUAGGAAGAACACCAGUGGCGAAGGCGAUUCUCUGGACUGUAACUGACGCUGAGGCACGAAAGCGUGGGUAGCAAACAGGAUUAGAUACCCUGGUAGUCCACGUCGUAAACGAUGAGUACUAGGUGUAGGAGGUAUCGACCCCUUCUGUGCCGCAGUAAACACAUUAAGUACUCCGCCUGGGAAGUACGAUCGCAAGAUUAAAAC